AUGUCGGGCUCUGCAGGUGCCAGCACACUGGAACACACGCUUGGGUUGGCGGGUGGUUGGAGGAGAGUGAGCUGUGCUUUUUCAUCCCCGCAUCCCCAGCGCCCAGCAUGGAGAAGGGAUGUGAUCAAUAUCUGUUGGAAAUGGAACAAGCCUCGGGAUAAACAGCCACAUCCUGGGAUGCACCAGACAGUGGUCAUUGUUCUAAAGGCUCAAUCGGGGAAACUGAGUCUCAGAAGGGCUAAGUCACGGACCCAGUUGAUCUCUAUCAGGAGCAGGCAGGCCUGCAUAGCCAGGCGGCUGGGGCCAGGUGCUGCUUCUCCCUCCAUCCUCAUUGCAGGCAGUAGGUCAGAGGCGUUGGACCAGCCUCAUCGGGAACUGGGGCUCAUGCUUGUCUUGCUGGCAAAUGGGCUUGAGAGGAGGGAUGUGAAGGGGACAGUCCAGCAUUUUCCUCAGAGCUGGGUGCCUUGCCCGGCCCCACCAGGCCCUGGAGUCACUAUCCGCAGGCAGAAGGGACCAUGGCUAUUUAAACUGUACGCUCAUCCCGGCCCAAACAAUGCUGCACUGAUGCUCAGGUAAAGGGUUGGCUAAGAAGGGGGACAGGCCACCCACAGUGCCACAUGGUGUGGCUUGGACGCACCUGUCAUUCUGAGGACCCUGCCCCUCCUCAGCCCUGCAGAGCCUCAUCAUGCUGCCCCAAGCAGAGGAAGCAGCGGCCAGAGUCCCUAAGGGGCUGUUCAGCGGCGUCAGUGGAUGCUGGGAUGGGGUCUGUCUGGGCAGUAUAGGGGUUCCCCUGGCCUUCCUGUGGUGUCUCAGCCUGGAUCUGCCCAGGGGGCUGAAGCUUGGAACGGCCACCAGGGUAGGUGCUCCACAGUGCUGGGCAGGACUGAGCCUGUCUCUGGGGAGGACCACAGACAACCAGGGGACAGCAAAAGCCUAAAAGAUUGGACCAGCAGAUGGGGAAGAGUCGGUGACACCCGUGCCUCCAGGUAGCGUCAGCUGUGCGACUCACUUGACGCAGGCCAUGGACUUGGAGUGCCUGCCCAGGCUGACCCCGGUGAAUUGCAGAGUUUUGUAGAAUGCAAGCCCAGCCCAGCAGUUCACGCCUUCUUGCUAAGCUGCUCUGUACACUGAAUGAGAGGGCUGGAGUCGCUCAGCUCCUUCCACAUUUAGUCCCCUCUGAUUUCCUGUGGCCACAGAAUAAAACAAUCUGUCAAAGUGUUUUUCUUCUCUUUUUUUCUGUUUUGUGCAACAGAAAAGCCCAGAGGAGAAAUGAGGAUGCAAAGAGAAAGAAAACAAAACCCCAAAAACCCCAACCAGAGAGCUGCAAGGAUGCCAGGAAGAGGGAGUGUCUGGGACGGAGCGGAGCGCACUUCUCCGAACGCCUUUCUCCGGGCUGAGGCUGUUUUCUGCAAGCCCGUGCGGUGCACGUGAGGAGGCUUUUCCUGCGGUGGUGAAAUCAAACACACCUAAGGCGUGAGUCCUCCAGACUCUCCUCACCUGGGCAGCUUGGCACCGGCCACCUGUGCCUUGCCUGGAGAAACUUCAAGUGUUCCUGACUUCAAGGGUCGGAGGUCUGUUUGCUCAGGGCUGGUUGGUAAAAUCGAACGGAGAAUGAAAGCUAGAGCUUCUGAAACACAUGAAGCAGGCAGAAAGCUUUAGACUCCCCUCUGGAAGGAGAGGGCUCCCUGUCCGCAGGAAGAAGGUCUUUUUCUAAGCUCUGUCAGUAGCUCAAAAUUAGGCCAUGUUUUAGUCGGCUUCAUGUUUGCACCAUGGCUUUCGUAUAAAACUGUUUGUUUUUCCUACAAUUAAAAAUACCUUUCUUUUCAUUUGUUUGUAAAUAGGAAAUAUAUUCAAAAAAGGUACAAAAUGUCUAUAGCAAAAAUUCAUUUCCCUUUUUUUGUUUCCACUUUGAAAGUGCCACCCAGUGAGUGUCAGACCCCACAGGUUUAACCCAUUUAUGCCUAGUGUUCCAUUAUUGGAACGCUAAGCUUGUGGGACUUACUUAUAGCCUACUGCUCAAAGUCAUUGUCAAGGUCUGAUUUUUCACACACAAAAAACUUGCGACCUCUGGCAUAAAUGGGUUAAGGGUAGGGUCCCAACAAGAUGGCCCCUGCUUCAGAUGCCACCCCCAAGUGGGGUCCCCAGGCCACCUGCACCUCUGACCAACUUGCUACAAAUCCGGGGGCUCCCCUGAUGACCUCUGGUUUUAUAAUUUACUGGAACACUCCCAGAGCCUACGAAAGUGUUGCACUUACAAUCCUUUUUUUUUUUAGACUGAAUCUGACUGGGUGCUUUGUCGCCCAGGCUAGAGUGCAGUGGCAAGAUCUCGGCUCACUACCUUUGCCUGCUGGGUUCAAGCAAUUCUCCCGCCUCAGCCUCCUGAGGAGCUGGAAUCCCAGCAUGAUGACACCAGCCAUCAUGCCCAACUAAUUUUUGUAUUUUUGUAGAGACGGGGUUUCACUAUGUUGGCCAGGUUGGUCUUGAAUUCCUGACCUCAGGUGAUCCACCCGCCUCGGCCUCCCAAAGGAUUACAGGUGUACGCCACUGUGCCUGGCCACAAUCCCAUUUUCUUUUUUUUUUUUUUUGAGACGGAGUCUCGCUCUGUCACCCAGGCUGGAGUGCAGUGGCCGGAUCUCUGCUCACUGCAAGCUCCACCUCCCAGGUUUACGCCAUUCUCCUGCCUCAGCCUCCCGAGUAGCUGGAAAUACAGGCGCCCGCCACCUCGCCCAGCUAGUGUUUUGUAUUUUUUAGUAGAGAUGGGGUUUCACCGGGGUUUCACUGUGUUAACCAGGAUGGUCUCGAUCUCCUGACCUCGUGAUCCGCCCAUCUUGGCCUUCCAAAGUGCUGAGAUUACAGGCUUGAGCCACUGCGCCCAGCCACAAUCCCAUUUUCAUAAUAAAGAACACACAUCAGGCCAGCCAAAUGAAGAGACACGUGGGGCAAGGGCUGGUUGGGUCCCGAAUGCAGAGCUUCCAUGUCCUGCCCUAUGGAUCAGCACAUGUCAUCUUCCAGGCACACGGAGCCUUCCACGGAGCCCCACCGUCAGAGCUUUUAUUGGCAUCUCAUUCCAUAAACAUGAUUGGUUGAGUGAUCGGCCAAGCUGGGGAAAACUCAGUCUCCAGCUCCUCCACCGCCUCCCAGAGGUCAGCAGGUUGGGCUGACAGCCCUGCGCCCAAAGUCUUAGUCCUCUAAUCACAUGAUUGGGUUUGCUAGUGGCCACCUCCCAUCCUGCAGGUAUCCAGGGGCCACGCUGGCUCACCUCAUCAGUACAAGCUACCAGGGCCCACCAUGAGUCAUGUGAAUAAUGAAGACAGUUUAACCACUUGGGAAGUUCCCAGGACUUAGAGUCUCCCACCCAGGAACCAGGGACAAAGGCCAGAUUUUGUAUUAUCCAAGGGCCCUCAGCCACUAGGUUUUCUACCCAGAGGAGAUUGAUCUUGGUAUCCUUCCAGAAAUAUUUUAUUUUACUCAAAGAGUAGCAUAUUACAUUACAGACGCUCCUCAUCUUAGGAUGACAUCACAUCCCAGUAAACCCAUCAUAAGUCGGAAGUAUUUUAAGUCAAAAUGCAUUUAAUACACCCAACCAAGGGAACAUCGCAGCGUAGCCUCGCCUACCUUAACCAUGCUCAGAACACUCGCAUCAGCCCACAGCUGGCAGCAUCACUGGGCAGCACAGCCCACUGCAG
rnacentral:lncRNA from 1 species